ACAUGCAGUCGAGGGGUUAAGAGAGCUUGCUUUCUUAGAGACCGGCGCACGGGUGCGUCACGUGUAUGCAAUCUACCUUACUCAGGGGGAUAGCCCGAAGAAACUCGGAUUAACACCGCAUAACAUAUAGUUUCGGCAUCGGAGUUAUAUCAAAUAUUUAUAGGAGUAAGAUGAGCAUGCGUGACAUUAGCUAGUUGGUAAGGUAACGGCUUACCAAGGCGACGAUGUCUAGGGGAUCUGAGAGGAUGACCCCCCACGCACUGGUACUGAGACACGGACCAGACUCCUACGGGAGGCAGCAGUAAGGAAUAUUGGUCAAUGGGCGAAAGCCUGAACCAGCCAUGCCGCGUGCAGGAGGACGGCCCUAUGGGUUGUAAACUGCUUUUGUACCGGAAUAAACCUGAUUAUGUAUAGUCAGCUGAAUGUACGGUAAGAAUAAGGAUCGGCUAACUCCGUGCCAGCCAAGCCGCGGUAAUACGGAGGAUCCAAGCGUUAUCCGGAUUUAUUGGGUUUAAAGGGUGCGUAGGCGGCUUGUUAAGUCAGAGGUGAAAGACGGUAGCUCAACUAUCGCAGUGCCUUUGAUACUGAUGAGCUUGAAUGAAGU
rnacentral:rRNA from 1 species